rnacentral:rRNA from 1 species
GAUGAACGCUGGCGGCGUGCCUAAUACAUGCAAGUCGAGCGAACAGACGAGGAGCUUGCUCCGCUGACGUUAGCGGCGGACGGGUGAGUAACACGUGGAUAACCUACCUAUAAGACUGGGAUAACUUCGGGAAACCGGAGCUAAUACCGGAUAAUAUAUUGAACCGCAUGGUUCAAUAGUGAAAGACGGUUGUGCUGUCACUUAUAGAUGGAUCCGCGCCGCAUUAGCUAGUUGGUAAGGUAAAGGCUUACCAAGGCAACGAUGCGUAGCCGACGUGAGAGGGUGAUCGGCCACACUGGAACUGGGCCGCGGUCCAGACUCCUACGGGAGGCCGCAGUAGGGAAUCUUCCGCAAUGGGCGAAAGCCUGACGGAGCAACGCCGCGUGAGUGAUGAAGGUCUUCGGAUCGUAAAGCUCUGUUAUUAGGGAAGAACAAAUGUGUAAGUAACUAUGCACGUCUUGACGGUACCUAAUCAGAAAGCCACGGCUAACUACGUG